ensembl:lncRNA
AAAUCUGUUUCUGUGUUGAUGAAGGAAUGUUUCUUCAUCAUGAGUAGCUAAAGUUACUCCCGGAGAAACCAACCUAUGCUCUCAAGAUAUACAUAAAUGGUGUCAUCUUCUUUAGGUAUUCCAUACUUAGUAUAUGGGAAUUGCUAAGUCACAGCCUGAACCAGUGAUUGAGCACCUGGUGAAGGGACAUAGCCAGCCCUAGGAGCACAGGUAAAAGCAGUUCACCUGUACAACUGGAAGGAGUGAGAUCAGGUUCUUCCCCUCCCUAAGGCUGAGCUGAGACAAGGGUAGGGUCUCGAGCUGGAGAUCCCUCCUUUUGGAAUAUUUAGUGAGUGUUGAUUCUUGGGACAGGUAAGCAAUUUUUUUUUCUUUAACUGGAUUAUGACUAUCACCCUUUUUGGGGUAAUUUAGAACUGGAUAUCUGCCGUUGUCUUUCCCUACAUUUCGACUGAACAAGGUCAGAUCAAUCUGGUCUUUCACCUGUGCUUAUCAUGAUGCAGAACUGUUUGCACUGGUUGUUAGGAGCACCUUGUGCAGCAGUUACCUCUAUGGAGUUCUGAGAUUCCCUGGUCUCUACUGAAGGAGAAGCAGACAAUAGUAUAAUAGAAGUUUAAAAUUCUGCUCUUAAGCAGAUGAGGUGGGGACUUUAAUCAGACACUUCUAUAUUCUAGAAUAGUGAUGUAACUUUAGGCAUGGAAUGAUCACUCAGAGUUCAAAUCCAAUGGAAACACUAGAGAAUCAAGUUUACUUUCUCCUAAUAAAAUAGCCAUCCAUCUGAAUCUUCAGAAAACUCAGUAUUAUCAUAUUCCAGCUCAAAUCAAAUCCAGGAUGUGUAAAUUACACAACAAAGUGAGUGGAUAAAAGGGCUAUACAUGCAUUUUCUCUUUCUUUAUUUUUAGUAAUAUUGCAGCAUUCUCUCUGAGGAGACUCCUCAUCAAAUACUGUAAUACUGCAGAUUUAACUUUUUAGCCAAGGAUCUAGAUAAGAACCUGGGUUUCUGUAUCCAUUCUGAAGUAUGCUUACUAUAAAAGACAGGACAUAUCAAAAACUAGAUUCAUAAAAGUGUCAGGUACUGUGAGCUGUUGCAGGAUGUGAUGCAUUUUUAGUAUGUUUUAGAGCUAUGACAUUAGCUUUAAAAUAAACUUGAAAAAGAAACAGAAAGGUGUCAUAUCUGGAGGAAAAUAUUUAACAAAAUUUUGUGGUAUUUCUUUGAUUUUGUGUGAUCAUUUCUGACUAAACAAAUUAGUUAGGACAGAAAGCUGUUUAUAAAAAGUAGUUUUCAUUAUCUGUGGCUCCCAGCAUGUUUCUAGCCUCUAUCUCCCCUCAUAAGAAGCCCUUCUCUUUGUCUCUUCCUCCCCCUCCUUACUCAUUUAUUCAGGGCUGAAAAGAUUGAGAUAUUCAGUUAGAAAGAGAAAUCUUCAUUGAGCAGUCACCUUAGCCAGCCCAUCCAUUCAUGUCGACUGGACCAGAACAGCAGCUAGCAGAGUUCUGAAGAGCCCUGACACAGCUGUGAAACUGCUGUAUUUUAGGCAGGAAAGACACCCACCAGGCACAGCAUCUGUUUUCUAUUAAAGCUGUACAGAGAUGCUUCCUUUGGGAUGAAUGAAGUACAUUCAGAUCUUAAAGUUCCCAGCUGUUCACCACAAAAGAGCUGAACAUUUUAAGAUACCCAUCUUUGACAGAAAUCAUCAUGGUCCACCAGAAAUCCUACAGGAUUUUUCCAUUCAAACUUUCUUUCUCCCAGUUGGAACCUGCUGUUCCAGCAGCUUUUGCUGUACCUACCGCAUCUCAGUGUGCUGAGAGGCUUGCUAAUGCCACAGUUCUUUUGAAAGAGGAAGGGCAAAAGGACUGAUCUGUAUGCGUCAGGUCUUCCUAAGGGAGGAAGUAGUUUGAAUACAGUGAAGAAUAAGAGGGGGAAGAUACCUCUGUGGGGCUGGUAAGCUGCUGCCCAAGGAGGAAAGUCAAACAUCUGCAUUUUGGAAGAAGAGUGCUUGCUUAGAGAGAAGUAGGAAACUGCUUCUGUGGGGCAGGAGAAGUUUAGAGGGGAGACAAUAUAAAUGUCCUACAGGACCCAAAGCCUAUUAUCAUUUUUAGUCAUCCUGAAAAAGAUAGCUCUUUUUCCUCAGUAAUUAUAUAAUGAUUCUGCUAAUAUGUUCAGAUACCUUUCCAGUAAUGAUUUCUGCCAUGCUCUCUUUGAGUAUGAUAACUCAAGAGCACUGACUCCCCAGGAAGGAAGAACUGCAACUUACUGAGGAUUAAGAAAACUUCUAAAGCCAGUACCUUCAGCAGUGGGAGAUUUUUUUUUUUUUAACAAGAUGAAUGAAAAAACUAAAGUCUUAAAAACACUCAGUUGCCUCUAGACCACAUAUAAAAUAAUGCAUCCAGUUUUGGGAUUCCCAAACACCAUAAAGGCAUAAUUUGAAAUAGCGAUUUGGACUGGCUUUCAUUAUAAGAAAUGCCUAGCAGUAAAGUGGUUAAUCACAAACUGUUUAGUUGCCGUCCUUGGAGGUUUCAAGAUCUGAUUAUGUAAAGCUCAAAGCAACCUGAUCUAACCUUGCAGAUGUUGUUUUCAGCAGAUUGACUACAGGGCUCCCGAGAUCCCUUCCAAAAGGAAUUGCCCUUCUGAGAAGUCUCAUAGGAUCAAGAUGGACAGCAUUUGAAGAUCAAAUUUCAUGGAGGACUUCACAAAUAGUUCUACAAGAUGACCUUCCCCUGAAACCGAAGGAUGUCAGCUACAUUUCAAGAGGAGCAAGAUCUUGACUGUGUGUCAGAGUUACAAUAAUUGGGCCUGCACAGAAUUUCGGAAGAGCAUCAUCUAGUUGCUAGACUCUGCUAGAGUUUAAGCAAUGCUAGAACUACUUUCUGUAUAUACAGAAAUUUAAAACCACAACAAGGUGGCAUCUAUCAAUCUUCUGAGU